AGAGGGUUGGCAUUUGCUUUUUCUCAACUGGGUAACAACUGUGUCCAGUCGCAAUGAUUCAAACCAUUCUUGUGAAGGUCCCGUGCCAAAAUAUGGGCCUGAUUGUGAAAAGCUAUAAUCAACAAUGUGUCACAGCUGUUGUUUGGGCUUAUUAUUAUUAACUCCCUCUGGCGCACUCAGGCUGGCUGUUGACUUUCCUUCUAUAAAUGGGAACAUUUGCUAGCAAUUCCCCCUCGGUGCAAGGUUGCACGGUGUGGCCGUGGAGAUCCAGUCGUCCUGGGCUGGCUUUGGUGUUCGGAUGCCAUGGCGCUGAGGUCAACUCGCAGGCUGAAGACAGGAAAGGGAGACGUUGGAUUCAGGAGCCUUCAUUUCGGACUCGGUCAAAGUGGCUACUUCAAGCCCAGGUUGUGUCUGCAGUGACAGCCGCUAACGGUUUCCAGAGCCGAAGAAAAAUUGGCAAUGCCUUUUUGGAAUGUUAGAAGACUUAAUUGCUGCAUUGGUCUGUCAUUUGAGCUACAAAGAAUUGCACUGAGGUCAUCCAAAGAAAGCGUGGCUUCUCAGCCAAGACCAGGGAGCCUCUAAUUUAAUCCUGCAAGGAAAGAAAAACACUGAAGGCAUCAUCGCUGGACGGGAGACGCCAGUGGCCUCUGCAAGAGGAGUUGGAAUUAAACUCUAAACAGCGAGAAUAAUCUUUGCACAAUACUGGAAGAAUGAAGAAUUGCCAUAAUAAUGAGG